GGUUAAGCGACUAAGCGUACACGGUGGAUGCCCUGGCAGUCAGAGGCGAUGAAGGACGUGCUAAUCUGCGAUAAGCGUCGGUAAGGUGAUAUGAACCGUUAUAACCGGCGAUUUCCGAAUGGGGAAACCCAGUGUGUUUCGACACACUAUCAUUAACUGAAUCCAUAGGUUAAUGAGGCGAACCGGGGGAACUGAAACAUCUAAGUACCCCGAGGAAAAGAAAUCAACCGAGAUUCCCCCAGUAGCGGCGAGCGAACGGGGAGCAGCCCAGAGCCUGAAUCAGUGUGUGUGUUAGUGGAAGCGUCUGGAAAGGCGCGCGAUACAGGGUGACAGCCCCGUACACAAAAAUGCACAUACUGUGAGCUCGAUGAGUAGGGCGGGACACGUGGUAUCCUGUCUGAAUAUGGGGGGACCAUCCUCCAAGGCUAAAUACUCCUGACUGACCGAUAGUGAACCAGUACCGUGAGGGAAAGGCGAAAAGAACCCCGGCGAGGGGAGUGAAAAAGAACCUGAAACCGUGUACGUACAAGCAGUGGGAGCCUCUUAAUGGGGUGACUGCGUACCUUUUGUAUAAUGGGUCAGCGACUUAUAUUCUGUAGCAAGGUUAACCGAAUAGGGGAGCCGAAGGGAAACCGAGUCUUAACUGGGCGUUAAGUUGCAGGGUAUAGACCCG
rnacentral:rRNA from 1 species